rnacentral:lncRNA from 1 species
GUGUUAGAAUGUUUGAUACUGCCCUUUGUCACUGAGAAAUGACACUAUCUAAUAAUGUGUUGCUAUGCAUUGAAAUGUAAAAAUUCUUGCAUUUGUAAGAUCAAUUUGGCUUGUUUUUUUAUUGUUUUCGUUAUAGCUGUUAAUUAAUGGGUCAAUUAUUGGAGUACAACACCUGUAUCGAAUACGCGUAUCAAGUGUAUGUUCUCCCUUGUAUUAUCAACUAUUACUGUCGUUGAGAAUGAUAAUGGCAAGACCGCUUUUUUUUAGUCUCAUGUUGUCUUGCAAAAUGACUUGCAAUAUGACAACUUUAAAUCAUUCUAUCAAAAACUAAUUCCUUUUUUAAGUCAUUGACGUAUGCUUUCCAGUUUCACAACAACGAUCUUGAUUAUGCCUAAAAGAAGUGCAUAGUGCUGUGCCAAUAAUUCAUCACGAAAGCACAUUUGUUGCGUAUCUU